AGAGUUUGAUCAUGGCUCAGAGUGAACGCUGGCGGCGUGCUUAACACAUGCAAGUCGAACGAGAACGGUCCUUCGGGAUGUCAGCUAAGUGGCGGACGGGUGAGUAAUGUAUAGCUAAUGUGCCCCUUGGAGAGGGAUAACAGUUGGNAACGACUGCUAAUACCUCAUACUCCUUCUAUGUUAAUCAUAGUUGGGAAAUGUUUUUUCGCCAAGGGAUCGGGCUAUAUGGUAUCAGCUAGUUGGUGAGGUAAUGGCUCACCAAGGCAAUGACGCCUAGCUGGUCUGAGAGGAUGAUCAGCCACACUGGAACUGAGACACGGUCCAGACUCCUACGGGAGGCAGCAGUGGGGAAUAUUGCACAAUGGAGGAAACUCUGAUGCAGCAACGCCGCGUGGAGGAUGACGCAUUUCGGUGUGUAAACUCCUUUUAUAUAGGAAGAUAAUGACGGUACUAUAUGAAUAAGCACCGGCUAACUCCGUGCCAGCAGCCGCGGUAAUACGGAGGGUGCAAGCGUUACUCGGAAUCACUGGGCGUAAAGCGCGCGCAGGCGGGCUAAUAAGUUGGAUGUGAAAGCCUACGGCUCAACCGUAGAACUGCAUCCAAAACUGUUAGUCUAGAGUGUGGGAGAGGAAGAUGGAAUUAGUUGUGUAGGGGUAAAAUCCGUAGAGAUAACUAGGAAUACCAAAAGCGAAGGCAAUCUUCUGGAACAUUACUGACGCUGAGGCGCGAAAGCGUGGGGGAGCAAACAGGGAUUAGAUACCCUGGUAGUCCACGCCCCUAAACGAUGAAUGUUAGUCGUCGGGUAGCUAGUCUAUUCGGUGAUGCAGCUAACGCAUUAAACAUUCCGCCUGGGGAGUACGGUCGCAAGAUUACAACUCAAAGGAAUAGACGGGGACCCGCACAAGUGGUGGAGCAUGUGGUUUAAUUCGAAGAUACGCGAAGAACCUUACCUAGCUU
rnacentral:rRNA from 1 species